CCUGGCUCAGGAUGAACGCUGGCGGCGUGCCUAAUACAUGCAAGUCGAGCGAACAGACGAGGAGCUUGCUCCUCUGACGUUAGCGGCGGACGGGUGAGUAACACGUGGAUAACCUACCUAUAAGACUGGGAUAACUUCGGGAAACCGGAGCUAAUACCGGAUAAUAUAUUGAACCGCAUGGUUCAAUAGUGAAAGACGGUUUUGCUGUCACUUAUAGAUGGAUCCGCGCCGCAUUAGCUAGUUGGUAAGGUAACGGCUUACCAAGGCAACGAUGCGUAGCCGACCUGAGAGGGUGAUCGGCCACACUGGAACUGAGACACGGUCCAGACUCCUACGGGAGGCAGCAGUAGGGAAUCUUCCGCAAUGGGCGAAAGCCUGACGGAGCAACGCCGCGUGAGUGAUGAAGGUCUUCGGAUCGUAAAACUCUGUUAUUAGGGAAGAACAAAUGUGUAAGUAAC
rnacentral:rRNA from 1 species